AGCAACAAAUGCCCUGCUUCCAGGAAAAGCCUCUAAGCAUCAGGUAACAUCAAAUCGUACCCCAAACCGACACAGGUGGUCAGGUAGAGAAUACCAAGGCGCUUGAGAGAACUCGGGUGAAGGAACUAGGCAAAAUGGUGCCGUAACUUCGGGAGAAGGCACGCUGACACGUAGGUGAAGUGAUUUACUCAUGGAGCUGAAGUCAGUCGAAGAUACCAGCUGGCUGCAACUGUUUAUUAAAAACACAGCACUGUGCAAACACGAAAGUGGACGUAUACGGUGUGACGCCUGCCCGGUGCCGGAAGGUUAAUUGAUGGGGUCAGCGCAAGCGAAGCUCCUGAUCGAAGCCCCGGUAAACGGCGGCCGUAACUAUAACGGUCCUAAGGUAGCGAAAUUCCUUGUCGGGUAAGUUCCGACCUGCACGAAUGGCGUAAUGAUGGCCAGGCUGUCUCCACCCGAGACUCAGUGAAAUUGAACUCGCUGUGAAGAUGCAGUGUACCCGCGGCAAGACGGAAAGACCCCGUGAACCUUUACUAUAGCUUGACACUGAACAUUGAGCCUUGAUGUGUAGGAUAGGUGGGAGGCUUUGAAGUGUGGACGCCAGUCUGCAUGGAGCCGGCCUUGAAAUACCACCCUUUAAUGUUUGAUGUUCUAACGUGGACCCGUGAUCCGGGUUGCGGACAGUGUCUGGUGGGUAGUUUGACUGGGGCGGUCUCCUCCUAAAGAGUAACGGAGGAGCACGAAGGUUGGCUAAUCCUGGUCGGACAUCAGGAGGUUAGUGCAAUGGCAUAAGCCAGCUUGACUGCGAGCGUGACGGCGCGAGCAGGUGCGAAAGCAGGUCAUAGUGAUCCGGUGGUUCUGAAUGGAAGGGCCAUCGCUCAACGGAUAAAAGGUACUCCGGGGAUAACAGGCUGAUACCGCCCAAGAGUUCAUAUCGACGGCGGUGUUUGGCACCUCGAUGUCGGCUCAUCACAUCCUGGGGCUGAAGUAGGUCCCAAGGGUAUGGCUGUUCGCCAUUUAAAGUGGUACGCGAGCUGGGUUUAGAACGUCGUGAGACAGUUCGGUCCCUAUCUGCCGUGGGCGCUGGAGAACUGAGGGGGGCUGCUCCUAGUACGAGAGGACCGGAGUGGACGCAUCACUGGUGUUCGGGUUGUCAUGCCAAUGGCACUGCCCGGUAGCUAAAUGCGGAAGAGAUAAGUGCUGAAAGCAUCUAAGCACGAAACUUGCCCCGAGAUGAGUUCUCCCUGAGACUUAAAGUCUCCUGAAGGAACGUUGAAGACGACGACGUUGAUAGGCCGGGUGUGUAAGCGCAGCGAUGCGUUGAGCUAACCGGUACUAAUGAACCGUGAGGCUUAACCUUACAACGCCGAAG
rnacentral:rRNA from 1 species